UACGUAGGGGGCUAGCGUUGUCCGGAAUUAUUGGGCGUAAAGCGUGCGCAGGCGGUUUUGUAAGACAGGUGUGAAAUCCCCGGGCUUAACCUGGGAACUGCAUUUGUGACUGCAUAGCUAGAGUACGGUAGAGGGGGAUGGAAUUCCGCGUGUAGCAGUGAAAUGCGUAGAUAUGCGGAGGAACACCGAUGGCGAAGGCAAUCCCCUGGACCUGUACUGACGCUCAUGCACGAAAGCGUGGGGAGCAAACAGG
rnacentral:rRNA from 1 species